rnacentral:rRNA from 1 species
GAGUUUGAUCAUGGCUCAGGAUGAACGCUGACAGAAUGCUUAACACAUGCAAGUCUUUGGCGAAUCUGUGCUUGCACAGGCUAGCCAAGGCGGACGGGUGAGUAACGCGUAAAGAACUUGCCCUGCAGACAGGGAUAACAGACGGAAACGACUGAUAACACCUGAUACAAUUGCCGGCACGCAUGUGCCUGGCAAUGAAAAGAGAUGCUGCGGGAGAGCUUUGCGUCCUAUUAGCUUGUUGGUGAGGUAACGGCUCACCAAGGCGAUGAUGGGUAGGGGAACUGAGAGGUUGAACCCCCACACUGGUACUGAGACACGGACCAGACUCCUACGGGAGGCAGCAGUGAGGAAUAUUGGUCAAUGGGCGAGAGCCUGAACCAGCCAAGUCGCGUGAAGGAUGACUGUCUUAUGGAUUGUAAACUUCUUUUAUACGGGAAUAACAAGAGCCACGUGUGGCUCCCUGCAUGUACCGUAUGAAUAAGCAUCGGCUAACUCCGUGCCAGCAGCCGCGGUAAUACGGAGGAUGCGAGCGUUAUCCGGAUUUAUUGGGUUUAAAGGGUGCGUAGGCGGCCUGUUAAGUCAGCGGUGAAAUCUAGGAGCUUAACUCCUAAAUUGCCAUUGAUACUGGCGGGCUUGAGUGUAGAUGAGGUAGGCGGAAUGCGUGGUGUAGCGGUGGAAUGCAUAGAUAUCACGCAGAACUCCGAUUGCGAAGGCAGCUUACUAAGGUACAACUGACGCUGAAGCACGAAAGCGUGGGUAUCAAAACAGGAUUAGAUACCCUGGUAGUCCACGCAGUAAACGAUGAUAACUGGGCGUAUGCGAUAUACAGUAUGCUCCUAAGCGAAAGCGUUAAGUUAUCCACCUGGGGAGUACGCCGGCAAACGGUGAAACUCAAAAGGAAAUUGACGGGGGCCCGCACGAAGCGGAGGAAACAUGUGGUUUAAUUCGAUGAUACGCGAGGAACCUUACCCGGGAUUGAAAAUGUAGAUGACCGCUCCUGAAAGGGAGUUUUUCCUUCGGGACAUCUAUGUAGGUGCUGCAUGGUUGUUCGUUCAGCUCGUGCCGUGAGGUGUUCGGCUUAAAGUGCCAUAACGAGCGCAAACCCCUGUCUACGGUUGCCAUCAGGUAAUGCUGGGAAACUCCGUAGAGACUGCCGUCGUAAGGCGUGAGAAAGGUGGGGAUGACGUCAAUUCAGCGACGGCCCUUACUUCCGGGGCGACGCACGUGUUACGAAUGGUAAGGACGAAAGGGCGAGCUACCUGGCGACGGGAAUGCGAAUUCUCUAACCCUU